AAAAAAGCAAACUUUAAAUUUCCGUGUCCAACUUUAACUGUCUAUCUUAUAUAAAAUUUUUUAUAAUUCAUAUUUUCAUUGUUGUUAAAUAAUAAAAUAUGAUUAAUAUUUUAUACGUGACUUGUCUUUUUAAUUUUUUUCUAAUUUUUUCAAAUCAGACGGACGGUCAAACGUUGGACACGGAAACCAGGGUUUGUCUUUUU
rfam:Oryza glaberrima chromosome 2 Oglab02_0023_33, whole genome shotgun sequence.